AUGGGGUGACUGCGUACCUUUUGUAUAAUGGGUCAGCGACUUAUAUUCUGUAGCAAGGUUAACCGUAUAGGGGAGCCGCAGGGAAACCGAGUCUUAACUGGGCGUUAAGUUGCAGGGUAUAGACCCGAAACCCGGUGAUCUAGCCAUGGGCAGGUUGAAGGUUGGGUAACACUAACUGGAGGACCGAACCGACUAAUGUUGAAAAAUUAGCGGAUGACUUGUGGCUGGGGGUGAAAGGCCAAUCAAACCGGGAGAUAGCUGGUUCUCCCCGAAAGCUAUUUAGGUAGCGCCUCGUGAACUCAUCUCCGGGGGUAGAGCACUGUUUCGGCUAGGGGGCCAUCCCGGCUUACCAACCCGAUGCAAACUGCGAAUACCGGAGAAUGUUAUCACGGGAGACACACGGCGGGUGCUAACGUCCGUCGUGAAGAGGGAAACAACCCAGACCGCCAGCUAAGGUCCCAAAGUCAUGGUUAAGUGGGAAACGAUGUGGGAAGGCACAGACAGCCAGGAUGUUGGCUUAGAAGCAGCCAUCAUUUAAAGAAAGCGUAAUAGCUCACUGGUCGAGUCGGCCUGCGCGGAAGAUGUAACGGGGCUAAACCAUGCACCGAAGCUGCGGCAGCGACACUAUGUGUUGUUGGGUAGGGGAGCGUUCUGUAAGCCGUUGAAGGUGUGCUGUGAGGCAUGCUGGAGGUAUCAGAAGUGCGAAUGCUGACAUAAGUAACGAUAAAGCGGGUGAAAAGCCCGCUCGCCGGAAGACCAAGGGUUCCUGUUCAACGUUAAUCGGAGCAGGGUGAGUCGACCCCUAAGGCGAGGCUGAAAAGCGUAGUCGAUGGGAAGCAGGUUAAUAUUCCUGCACUUGGUGUUACUGCGAAGGGGGGACGGAGAAGGCUAGGUUAUCCGGGCGACGGUUGUCCCGGUUUAAGCGUGUAGGCUGAUACCUUUGGUAAAUCCGGGGUAUCUUAAGGCUGAGGCGUGACGACGAGCCACCACGGUGGUGAAGUAACUGAUGCCCUGCUUCCAGGAAAAGCCUCUAAGCUCCAGGUAACACGAAAUCGUACCCCAAACCGACACAGGUGGUCAGGUAGAGAAUACCAAGGCGCUUGAGAGAACUCGGGUGAAGGAACUAGGCAAAAUGGUGCCGUAACUUCGGGAGAAGGCACGCUGUCAUCAGGUGAAGUCCCUCGCGGAUGGAGCUGAAGGCAGUCGAAGAUACCAGCUGGCUGCAACUGUUUAUUAAAAACACAGCACUGUGCAAACACGAAAGUGGACGUAUACGGUGUGACGCCUGCCCGGUGCCGGAAGGUUAAUUGAUGGGGUUAUCCGCAAGGAGAAGCUCUUGAUCGAAGCCCCGGUAAACGGCGGCCGUAACUAUAACGGUCCUAAGGUAGCGAAAUUCCUUGUCGGGUAAGUUCCGACCUGCACGAAUGGCGUAAUGAUGGCCAGGCUGUCUCCACCCGAGACUCAGUGAAAUUGAAAUCGCUGUGAAGAUGCAGUGUACCCGCGGCAAGACGGAAAGACCCCGUGAACCUUUACUAUAGCUUGACACUGAACAUUGAGCCUUGAUGUGUAGGAUAGGUGGGAGGCUUUGAAGCGUGGACGCCAGUCUGCGUGGAGCCAACCUUGAAAUACCACCCUUUAAUGUUUGAUGUUCUAACGUAGGCCCGUUACCCGGGCUGCGGACAGUGUCUGGUGGGUAGUUUGACUGGGGCGGUCUCCUCCCAAAGAGUAACGGAGGAGCACGAAGGUUGGCUAAUCCUGGUCGGACAUCAGGAGGUUAGUGCAAUGGCAUAAGCCA
rnacentral:rRNA from 1 species